UUUAUACUCCCUCCGUUCCAUAAUAAGUGACUUUAUAUUACAUUUAUUUAGACGUUUUUUAGACAUAAAUACAUUCAUAUUGGACAAAGUUAAGUCACUUGAUAUGGGACGGAGGGAGUAUAUA
rnacentral:pre_miRNA from 1 species